rnacentral:tRNA from 3 species
GGGGACGUAGCUCAGACCGGGAGAGCGCCGCCCUCGCACGGCGGAGGUCGGGGGUUCAAAUCCCCUCGUCUCCA